rnacentral:rRNA from 1 species
GAAGGGAUAGGGUCGGUUCGGCCGGAUUUCACACAGGUUGUUGCAUGGCUGUCGUCAGCUCGUGUCGUGAGAUGUUGGGUUAAGUCCCGCAACGAGCGUAACCCUCAUCCUUAGUUACCAUCAGGUAAUGCUGGGGACUUUAAGGAAACUGCUAGUGAUAAACUGGAGGAAGGUGGGGAUGAUGUCAAGUCAUCAUGGCCCUUAUGGAGUGGGCUACACACGUGCUACAAUGGUGGCUACAAUGGGCUGCAAAGUCGCGAGGCUAAGCUAAUCUCUUAAAAGCCAUCUCAGUUCGGAUUGUACUCUGCAACUCGAGUGCAUGAAGUUGGAAUCGCUAGUAAUCGUGGAUCAGCAUGCCACGGUGAAUACGUUCUCGGGUCUUGUACACACUGCCCGUCACGCCAUGGGAAUUGGUU